GAUUGUCAUUGUAGCCUGUUGCUGUUUAUUGGCUUUGUAGCCUUUGUCAAAUUUACCUUUUUAUGCAAAGAAUUGGAUCCAGAUGAAGAAAUUCUUUGAUUCAGAUUUUAUUGAAUCUGUGACAAUAUUUUUUUUCUCAAAUUGUAGCUGAAAAACAUAUGAAAACAAAACAUAUAUUUUUUGCUCCCCCACCGUUGAGCCGCCGCAGGGGCGGACGGACCGCUGGAGGAGACAUUGAGCCCCCGGCACCAUUCUAAGGCCUUUAGACUGAUGCUGGUUGAAGAUUUGUGUGAAGGAGCGUCAAACAGGUGCUGUGGCUUCUUCAGUUCUAGCUGACUCGGGUCGUUAGCAUUCAAAUGGUCACCAUUGGGCGCAUUGAUACCCUAUUUGCCAUUGAUUUCCAGCACUGGAAUCACCUGAGCUUAUAUGACAAUGUCCAUGACACUGACUGGGUAGCAAUGAAGGAACUGCAUUGUAGGUCAUGCAAUUGUAAUUAGAUAGUUGUAACGCUCUCUGCUGGUGAGUUUUCACUUGUAAUAAAAUUCCAUAGGGGGGUUAAAUAAGGUUGUUUAAUUGGCCACAUUUUAGUAGAGAUGGGAAGUUCGGUUCUUUUAACUGACUCGGAUCUUUAAGUCUCGUUCAGUAAAGUAAACAAAUCAUUUUGAGUCAUUCGUUGUUGUGGAAAAAGAAAUACCACGAGAGCUUCUAACGACUCAAUGAAAAGAAGAAGUCAAAAAGUUGCCUCUGUGAAUUUAUUUCUGGAUAUGCAUAUAU